rnacentral:snoRNA from 12 species
UCGUUAUUAUAAUAUAUGUAUAAUUCCUAGCGGGCAAGAUUUUUUCAAAAAAUGAAAAAUAUCAUAAUCAGUCUAGGUAACAAAAAUUAAAAAGAAAAAUUAUUGUAAUUUUAAAAUUAUUACAAUGGUUUUUUUUUUGCACAA